AGGAUGAACGCUAGCUACAGGCUUAACACAUGCAAGUCGAGGGGCAGCAUCAUCAAAGCUUGCUUUGAUGGAUGGCGACCGGCGCACGGGUGAGUAACACGUAUCCAACCUGCCGACAACACUGGGAUAGCCUUUCGAAAGAAAGAUUAAUACCGGAUGGCAUAGUUUUCCCGCAUGGGAUAAUUAUUAAAGAAUUUCGGUUGUCGAUGGGGAUGCGUUCCAUUAGGCAGUUGGCGGGGUAACGGCCCACCAAACCUACGAUGGAUAGGGGUUCUGAGAGGAAGGUCCCCCACAUUGGAACUGAGACACGGUCCAAACUCCUACGGGAGGCAGCAGUGAGGAAUAUUGGUCAAUGGACGAGAGUCUGAACCAGCCAAGUAGCGUGAAGGAUGACUGCCCUAUGGGUUGUAAACUUCUUUUAUACGGGAAUAAAGUGAGCCACGUGUGGCUUUUUGUAUGUACCGUAUGAAUAAGGAUCGGCUAACUCCGUGCCAGCAGCCGCGGUAAUACGGAGGAUUCGAGCGUUAUCCGGAUUUAUUGGGUUUAAAGGGAGCGUAGGCGGGUUGUUAAGUCAGUUGUGAAAGUUUGCGGCUCAACCGUAAAAUUGCAGUUGAUACUGGCGACCUUGAGUGCAACAGAGGUAGGCGGAAUUCGUGGUGUAGCGGUGAAAUGCUUAGAUAUCACGAAGAACUCCGAUUGCGAAGGCAGCUUACUGGAUUGUAACUGACGCUGAUGCUCGAAAGUGUGGGUAUCAAACAGGAUUAGAUACCCUGGUAGUCCACACAGUAAACGAUGAAUACUCGCUGUUGGCGAUAUACAGUCAGCGGCCAAGCGAAAGCAUUAAGUAUUCCACCUGGGGAGUACGCCGGCAACGGUGAAACUCAAAGGAAUUGACGGGGGCCCGCACAAGCGGAGGAACAUGUGGUUUAAUUCGAUGAUACGCGAGGAACCUUACCCGGGCUUAAAUUGCAACUGACGGAACCGGAAACGGUUCUUUCUUCGGACAGUUGUGAAGGUGCUGCAUGGUUGUCGUCAGCUCGUGCCGUGAGGUGUCGGCUUAAGUGCCAUAACGAGCGCAACCCUUACGGGUAGUUACCAUCAGGUUAUGCUGGGGACUCUACCCGGACUGCCGUCGUAAGAUGUGAGGAAGGUGGGGAUGACGUCAAAUCAGCACGGCCCUUACGUCCGGGGCUACACACGUGUUACAAUGGGGGGUACAGAAGGCAGCUACACGGCGACGUGGUGCUAAUCCCAAAAGCCUCUCUCAGUUCGGAUUGGAGUCUGCAACCCGACUCCAUGAAGCUGGAUUCGCUAGUAAUCGCGCAUCAGCCACGGCGCGGUGAAUACGUUCCCGGGCCUUGUACACACCGCCCGUCAAGCCAUGAAAGCCGGGGGUACCUGAAGUACGUAACCGCGAGGAGCGUCCUAGGGUA
rnacentral:rRNA from 1 species